GUUUCUUCUAUAGCUCAGUUGGCUAGAGCAUGGUUUACACCAAGGUUGCAGGUUCGAUCCCUAAAAGGGACA